GUGGAGGCCCAUGAGGACAGACUGGUGAUGCUGCAUCGAGAGUGUGGAAAAGUUGAAAACUGCUACAGAUGCUCUAGAAUUAAAACUCAAAUACAUUACAGAGCUCCAACUUGAGCAGGAGGGGAAGAUCUCUUAUAUCCAGGACAAAACCAAGACUC